AUGGCGGCCGCGGGAAUUCGAUUAGAGUUUGAUCAUGGCUCAGAUUGAACGCUGGCGGAAUGCUUUACACAUGCAAGUCGAACGGUAGAGGGGGCAACCCCUUGAGAGUGGCGAACGGGUGAGUAAUAUAUCGGAACGUGCCCAGUCGUGGGGGAUAACGUAGCGAAAGUUACGCUAAUACCGCAUACGAUCUAAGGAUGAAAGCGGGGGACUCGCAAGAGCCUCGCGCGAUUGGAGCGGCCGAUAUNNGAUUAGGUACUUGGUGGGGUAAAGGCUCACCAAGCCAACGAUCUGUAGCUGGUCUGAGAGGACGACCAGCCACACUGGAACUGAGACACGGUCCAGACUCCUACGGGAGGCAGCAGUGGGGAAUUUUGGACAAUGGACGCAAGUCUGAUCCAGCCAUUCCGCGUGCAGGAUGAAGGCCCUCGGGUUGUAAACUGCUUUUGUCGGACCAAAAGGUUUGU
rnacentral:rRNA from 1 species